UUUAAUUAUUGCAGGUUACGAUUUGUUCAAUUCAGUGAAUGUAGAUAUGAGCCACACGGUAAGUUCUCCUUUGCAUAAUAGUUAAAAUAUUCAGACUUUUUAUACCGACUAAGAGUUUCGGUUAUACAAUGUGUAGGAAAGUGAUGGAGAUGGUACUGUGCUCUAUGAAAAGUGAUGAUGAUGAAGAAGAGGAGAUGGAUUACAAUAAAAAUUUUGAAAAUGGAGUUUUGUAAGAGACACGUGAUGCCGCUAAUGAUGCGGCAAAAGACAUCGCCUUGAGCUUAGGGUUUGAAGUGAAUAAGGGUUCAUACAAGAAAACCCCAGUGAACCAAAGAAGCAGCUGUAUAUGGUAUGCAAGCACGGUGGUAAGCCCAAAUCACAGUCGACAACAUCAUCUUCGGGUUCCACAAAAAUGACUACGACCUUUAAGUGAGAUUGUAGGUUCAAAGUGGUUUUGCGGGCUAUACCAGUAGGGGUUACCUGGAGAUGGACGAUUGUGCCUGUUGUAGACAAACACAACCCUCGUCAGUGGAGGGGUUUCCACAACCACAAAUUUGAGGCAUUUCGUGAAGGAUCUGGUCAGCAAAAACUAGCUCAGUGAAGACAUGAAGAUGAUGAUUAGACAGAUGGAUGAAAAUCAUGUGCCACCCAAACAGAUUGUGAGCAUGAUGGAUGGUACAUAUAACAAUAUGAUAACCAUGAAGCAGAUUUAUAAUGAAAUGACAAAGAUUAGGCGUGAGAGAUUGGGCGGCAUGAAACCUACAAAAUGGGCAAUGGUAGAGGCAAAAAAACUCGGUUACUUUACUAAGCUUACACUGGACGAGGCACGAUGUGUUCGCAACAUCUUCCUUUGUCACCCAAAGGAAGUUCAGAUGGUGCAUGUGUGUUACUUUGUCGUUCAGAUUGACUCAACAUACAAGACGAACUUGUAUAAGAAAGCAAUAAUUCAGUUAAUUCAACUUGAGGCGAGAAAGUUGUUAGAGCACUCGAGACAGAAAACAUUUGUGAUUUGGGAUCCCCCUUAUGGUAUGUUGAACACAAAAGUUAGCUUGUGGGCGGUUCAGUUGUUAGAUGAAGAUCGAAAAUUGGUAAAGUCAUGCCGACAUGAAGUUCAGCGAGCUAUAAACACCAGCCAGUUAUUGCAUAAAUAAUAUUUAGAUUAAUUACCCUUACUUUAAAUUACCCGAUUCAAUUACCCACGUUUUACUAAAUUAACUCAAUCACCAUAUUAUAUUACCAUAAUUAACCUACUUAAGUAUCAUUCUCAAUUAGUAUCAACAAUUUUAAUGACUGUAAUUAAUAAUUACUAAACUAAAUAAAUAUUAUUGAAUUUUGUAAAAAAAAUAAUGGGUAGCUGUCCAUUUUGGACGACCAAUUACACACACAGCAAUCCAAAUUAGACUGUCAGUUAAAGAGGCAGUCGUAUGAUUUGGGCGGCUGAUUUUUCAUUCGGUUGUGUGAUUAAUCGGUCGAAAAUUGAGUAUUGUUCAAUUCCGUUAAAAAAAAUUACUCAAAGUAAUUACCCUCAUUUAGUUAUUUCAAAUUACCUUAUUUAAUUACCCCAUUUUAAUAAACCUUAUUAAAUUAUUGUAAUUAAUAAUUAAAAAAAUUAAAAUAAGGUGUAGCCGAUCCAAAUCGGAUAACGGAUUAAAAAAACAGNNNNNNNNCAGAGAGCGGAGCACAAACACCUCCGUCCAAACGGGACUACAGGCGGGAGAGGCAGCUGUCCGAUUUGGCCGGCUGGUUCUUCAAUCGACAGUCCGAUUUGGACGGGUGUGUGUGUAAUCGGCCGUCCAAAACGGACGGCUACCCCUUUUCAGGUGAGAUUAGAACUAACCUUGUUCGACGGGAUGGUGGAUUUGAAGGAGAUAGGGUUGCCGGCGGAAGCCUUGCAGGACAGUGGAUUUGAAGG
rnacentral:lncRNA from 1 species